GAUGAACGCUAGCUACAGGCUUAACACAUGCAAGUCGAGGGGCAGCAUGGUCUUAGCUUGCUAAGGCCGAUGGCGACCGGCGCACGGGUGAGUAACACGUAUCCAACCUGCCGUCUACUCUUGGACAGCCUUCUGAAAGGAAGAUUAAUACAAGAUGGCAUCAUGAGUCCGCAUGUUCACAUGAUUAAAGGUAUUCCGGUAGACGAUGGGGAUGCGUUCCAUUAGAUAGUAGGCGGGGUAACGGCCCACCUAGUCUUCGAUGGAUAGGGGUUCUGAGAGGAAGGUCCCCCACAUUGGAACUGAGACACGGUCCAAACUCCUACGGGAGGCAGCAGUGAGGAAUAUUGGUCAAUGGGCGAGAGCCUGAACCAGCCAAGUAGCGUGAAGGAUGACUGCCCUAUGGGUUGUAAACUUCUUUUAUAAAGGAAUAAAGUCGGGUAUGUAUACCCGUUUGCAUGUACUUUAUGAAUAAGGAUCGGCUAACUCCGUGCCAGCAGCCGCGGUAAUACGGAGGAUCCGAGCGUUAUCCGGAUUUAUUGGGUUUAAAGGGAGCGUAGAUGGAUGUUUAAGUCAGUUGUGAAAGUUUGCGGCUCAACCGUAAAAUUGCAGUUGAUACUGGAUAUCUUGAGUGCAGUUGAGGCAGGCGGAAUUCGUGGUGUAGCGGUGAAAUGCUUAGAUAUCACGAAGAACUCCGAUUGCGAAGGCAGCCUGCUAAGCUGCAACUGACAUUGAGGCUCGAAAGUGUGGGUAUC
rnacentral:rRNA from 1 species